UUGCAUGCUUGAUCGGGGAGGGGGGCUACAGUUAGAUAAUAUUCUGGUCAGCACAUUCGAUAAACUACAGUUGUACAUGGAACUCAUUAAAUCACUUCUUUUUCUUUCAGUGGUCUUCAACUUUUAAUCUCCAAGAAGGAAAUGUAAUUAAAAGAUGAAUAAAGUAUCCCUAAGAAUACCAGAAGAAAGGCUGUGUUGAGAAAAACAGCCCUUCCUCAGUACCUCAGAACUAGAUGAUAGCCCUUGUUACUUUAUGCUGAAUAUGACACAGUAUAGAAGAUCUGAUCAUAAAGAAGUUACACCAUUGAUACACUUGCCAACUGCCAAAACUACUUUCUGAUAGUAUGACGAGAUUAGAAGAUAUCAUGGUGUAGUCAUGACACAAACUGCAAAUCAAAGAUUGUCUUCCCCAGAGGAUGAACAGAGUGCUUCACAUGGAUAACAUUUCCUUUUCGAGUUUUGAAAUUAUCAAACAUAAUUUUGCAUCAAAGAGAAAAAGUGGCUUUGACAUAACCUAGAAAAUGCAAUUCAUUAAAAAGAGCAUGGCACCAGGAUAGCUAGAUGCCCAUAUUCCCAGCAAAAUGAGCCAGUCCUAAAGAGAGUCCACUAGAGAUGAAAUAAAACUCAUUAAAUGUAUUGAGAAAAGAUUUUUCAGAAUGUUAUGCAUCAUGAUCAACAUAAAAGAACUUCACAGGUAGACCAAAGCUGACAUGGGAUGAGAUCCUAAAACGAGACCUAGAGUUUAGAGGAUUGGAUAGGAUCAAUCCACUGGGUCGCCAAGUGUGGAAGUACAAACUCCAACCUCGACAGGACAGCCAGGCCUCACCCUUGCAAAAAUAUUAAUUUGGCCUGGAUAGUCAAAAUGAGUGAUGAUGAUGAUAUCAAGGUCUGACACUGUAAGCUCAGUAAGGGUAGAUGCUGGCAAUGGAGCUGUUAAGCAAUACAACAAACAGGUUUAACAUUGAACAUGUUUAUAUACUUUUUUAGCUCACCUGAGCCAAAGGCUCAAAUGAACUUUUCUGAUCAGCUUUACCUGUCGUCUGUCUCUCUGUAAACUUUUCACAUUUUCAUUUUCUUCUCCAGAGUGAACCACUGGGCCAGUUUCAAUCAAACUUGGUAUGCAUCAUCAAUAGAUAAAGGGUAUGCAAAAAUAGGGUGGGGUCAUUUAAAAAACCUUUUCAAGAACCACUGGACCAGGAAAGUUGAAUUCACAUAAAAGGUUCCUGUUUUGUGCAAAUCAUGGUAUCCGGGGGUAGGGUGAGGUCACAAUCGGGGAUCAAAGUUUUACAUUCAUAUAUAGUACAGAUUCAAGUUUGUUAAAGGUCAUGGCUCACAGGGGUACAGUGGGGUCACAAUAGGGGAUCUAAGUUUUAUAUGUGAAAUAUAUACAAGGAAAAUCUUUUAAAAUCUUUUCCUAAAAAACUAGAUGCAGAACUAAACCCAAAAUCGUAGUUCUUUGAGAAGAUAUUGGGGCAAGUCAGAGCGCUAGAGAUUCAAAUGAACCCCUUAUUAAAAAUCUUCAAUUUACGGCACAGAAAAAAAGUACAUGGUUAAGUCCCUUUAUCACUGCAUUCCUGCAUCGCUGUCUCAUGAAUUUAAUAUCAAAUAAUUCCUAACAUAUUUUCCCACUAUACUUGUUUCCAAGCAUACUUUCAAAUAUUCCUUAAACCUACAUAUAACCUAAAAACUCACAGCUUCAAGUGAUUUUCUUUGUUGAUGUAGCCAUGUUAGGUAUACGUAGCCAGUCAAUUUGAACCCCAGUUCAUUUCCAUACUCGUACUCAUUUUGAAACAUAAUGUCUGUGUGAACUAAUAUCCCCACAAAUAUUUUUAGUGAAAUAUUUUGGAUGAAAUCAUCCCAGUUGGGUUAAAUACUUAUUAUUCAAAAACUGUAGGUUUGAAUAUUGAACUAAUCUUACAGCUUUCUUAAGUUUGGUCCCCAUCCACUCUAGUCUGUUUUUGCGCUUAACUAUUGAAAUGGAGAGUAAGGGAUCAGACUAGGCUUUAAUAUCAUUAUCAAUUUUCAAAAGCUUUAGAAAAAUUAUACAAUUUUAGGUCACUUGAGUAAACUCAGAUAACAUAUUGCUAUUGGUCUGCGUCCGUUGUAGUCCGUCGAUGUUAACAAUUGAAUAUUUUUAACUAAAUUCUAUAACUGAAAGGUGAAGAUAACGAACAGCGAUCAAUCUACAAUUCGAAUAACAGAAUUCUUUUCAAAUUUAGUAUGAAGCACACAAAUUUACAUUAAACCUUCCUGACAUAGUGCAUAUUCAAGUUUGUUAAAAUCAUUUCCCGGGAGGUAUGGUGUGGUAACAAUAUUGGAUCAAAGUUUUAUAUGCUGAUAUAUUUAAAGGAAAAAUCUUUAAAGAUAUCUCUUGAACUAUUUAAGCUAAAGCUUUCAUAUCUUGUAUAUACAAUUUUUAUGGAAAACAAAUCUGACCUAUUCAGUGUGUCCUGAACUACAUUGUGUUUAAGGUAAAACUUAUACGGUACCAAUUUUGAUGCACCAGAUGCGCAUUUCGACAAAUAAUGUCUCUUCAGUGGUUGGCGUGGGUUCGAAUCCUGCUUGCACCGGUAAGUGAGAAAGUUUCCCAGUUUACUCUCGGAAGGUCAAUGGUCUCUUCCCAGGUACAUUGUAUCUGGGUUCUCUCUUCCAUCAAUAAAAACUGGGCACCACCAGAUAACUGAAAAAUUGUUGAGUGUGGCGGAAAACAGCUAAAACAAUCAAUCAUAUUAUGUUCUUUGACCUUGUGACCCUGAACUCUGAGUUUGACCUACUUUUAAGAAAGUAUAACUUAUUAAGUAUAUCCAGGACUAUUUUAGAUAGGGCUUUCAUGUAUUGUAUAUAGAUUACUUAUGGCAAGGUCUUUCAUAUCAUUCCAAGACCUAUGACUUCAUAACUUGGUCUUAUCCAGAACAGCAAUAUCAUGCUUGUCAUAUCUUUGUGUUAUAUGAUUUCAUUUUAGUAAUGUUGUGUUCUUUAGAGGUAGGUUUGGGUCACAUUAUUUAUGAGAAUAAAGAUUGAUAAAAUAGCAUUUAAAAAUCAAAACAGCAGGGCCAAGGUGACUCAGGUGAGCGAUGUGGCCCCUGGGCCUCUUGUUGAUUUUGAUAUUUGUACAGAUAUCGUUUGUAUGAGAAAUGGAACUCUUUUUUUUUUCUUUUACAAAUACAUGUAUUAUCAUAUGGAUCCAUCUGUGUUGAUUAUUUAAUCAAAGGACUACAUUCAAUGUAUUAAAUGCAAAUUUAUUGAUAUGUCUGUGGUUGAAUUACUCAUGUAUGUAUACAUUUUUUUGGCACAUGCAAUUACAUAUAUAAUGUAUAUAUAUAUAUAUAUAUAUAUACUAAUUGUACAUAUAACAUCUCCUGUAAUAUAAUAAAAUAUAUGACUGAGAAUAAAA